AGUGAUUAAUAUAGAUAGAUGAUGGUAGAGAGAUAUAGUAUGUAUAGAGAU
rnacentral:guide_RNA from 1 species